UAGGAUUUUUUCAUAUAAAUAUCGUAGUUCAUAGCUUUUUAAAGUCAGUUCGAAUACUUUCAAGCCAAAAUGAAGAUUUCCCUAGCCGUUCUGGGACUUUUUGUGUCCAUCUUCUUCAGUUUCCAAACACCUUCAAUGACAUUGCUCUCCGCACAAUCGCCACCCACUUUCUGCAAAUUGUUUCCCAAUUUGCCGAUUUGCAAAAAUCCUCCAUCCCAGGAUAAUGGAUCAAAUAGAUCAACAGCAUCCACCGAAUCAAGUGAAGGCAGUGGACCUACAACUGCGGCUACUUUAAAACCGAGUAAUGAAACAGUCCCUUAUUGAUUUCCAACCAUGGAUUUUUAAAACGUGGCUUUUUCUGAAAUUGUGCAAUUUAUCCAUUUGUUUUUAAAUUCUGGUAUGUCAAUUUUUUAAAUAAAUAACCCACGAGCAUUGCAAAAAA